rnacentral:tRNA from 1 species
GGGAAUGUGGCUCAGGGGUAGAGUGCUUGCCUGGCAUGCAUGAAGCCCUGGGUUCGAUUCCUCAGUACCA